rnacentral:tRNA from 1 species
GCCUGGGUGGCUCUGUCGGUUGAGCAACUGACUUCGGCUCAGGUCAUGAUCUCACGGUUCAUGGGUUCGAGCCCCACGUCGGGCU